UACGAAGGGGGCUAGCGUUGUUCGGAAUUACUGGGCGUAAAGCGCACGUAGGCGGCCUAUUAAGUCAGGGGUGAAAGACGGUAGCUUAACUAUCGCAGUGCCUUUGAUACUGAUGGGCUUGAAUGUACUUGAGGUAGGCGGAAUGUUACAAGUAGCGGUGAAAUGCAUAGAUAUGUCACAGAACACCAAUUGCGAAGGCAGCUUACUAAAGUAUGAUUGACGCUGAGGCACGAAAGCGUGGGGAUCAAACAGG
rnacentral:rRNA from 1 species